ACCCGCACAAGCAGCGGAGCGUGUUGGUUUAAUUCGUUGCUACACGAAGAACCUUACCUGGGUUUGACAUAUAGGUUGUAGGGAACUGAAAAGGGACCGACCCUUCGGGGAGCCUAUACAGGUGUUGCAUGGCUGUCGUCAGCUCGUGUCGUGAGAUGUUCGGUUAAGUCCGCUAACGAGCGCAACCCUCGUCGUAUGUUAUAUGUGUCAUACGAGACUGCCGGUAAAAAGCCGGAGGAAGGUGGGAUGACGUCAAGUCAGCAUGGCCUUUAUAUCCUGGGCUACACACACGCUACAAUGGGAAGGGACAAUAGGUUGCGAAGCCGCGAGGCGGAGCCAAUCCAGCAAAACUUCCCUCAGUUCAGAUUGCAGGCUGCAACUCGCCUGCAUGAAGUUGGAGUUGCUAGUAAACGCAGGUCAGCCAUACUGCGUUGAAUACGUUCCCGGGGCUU
rnacentral:rRNA from 1 species